UACGUAGGGGGCAAGCGUUGUCCGGAUUUAUUGGGCGUAAAGCGCACGCAGGCGGUCUCUUAAGUUUCGAGUGACAGGUCAGGGCUUAACCCUGGCAGGCCUUGGAAAACUGGGGGACUUGAGGGCUUCAGAGGGACGCGGAAUUCCUGGUGUAGCGGUGAAAUGCGCAGAUAUCAGGAGGAACACCGGUGGCGAAGGCGGGUCGUCUGGGCAAUGAACUGACGCU
rnacentral:rRNA from 1 species